GGAGAUGGAGAAGUGUCUGCCGUCAUUUAAUAACCGAUCUAAAUCAUAAUACCGAAAAUUUUUUUAAAUUUUAAUUAAAACUGAAAAAAAAUAAUUAAACUGAAUAAACAAAAUAAAAUCAAUUUGAUUUAAUUUUUUGAUUUAAAUCGAAUAAUCUCAUUCAAAUUUCAAAUCAUCAUUAAUAGCAUUUUAAUUAGAUUAGAUAUGUAAGAGUUUGAAUGCCAAAACAUUGUCAUAUGUCAAAAU
rnacentral:misc_RNA from 1 species